rnacentral:rRNA from 1 species
GGUGAACGCUGGCGGCGUGCCUAACACAUGCAAGUCGAUCGGAGCAGCAAUGCUUAGAGGCGAACGGGUGAGGAAAACGUAGUAACCAACCCUUUAGACUGGGAUAGCCACUGGAAACGGUGGGUAAUACCGGAUAAGCUCGAGAGAGGAAAGGCAGAGAAGCGCUAAAGGACGGAACUGCGCCCCAUCAGAUAGUUGGUGAGGUAAAGGCUUACCAAGUCAAAGACGGGAAACCGACGUGAGAGCGUGUACGGUCACAAGGGCACUGAGAGACGGGCCCUACUCCUACGGGAGGCAGCAGUAGGGAAUAUUGCAAAAUGGGCGCAAGCCCGAUGCAGCAACGCCGCGUGGGCGAUGAAGGCCUUCGGGUCGUAAAGCCCUUUUGAGGGGAUGAGGAAGGACAGUACCCUCAGAAUAAGCCUCGGCUAACUACGUGCCAGCAGCCGCGGUAAGACGUAGCGUG